rnacentral:rRNA from 1 species
UGGAAUGAUGGUGACCUAAACCCUCACCAGAGUAACAAUUGGAGGGCAAGUCUGGUGCCAGCAGCCGCGGUAAUUCCAGCUCCAAUAGCGUAUAUUAAACUUGUUGCAGUUAAAAAGCUCGUAGUUGAAUUUUUGCGUGGUGUUAAUAUUGACUGAUGUCGAGAUUGCACUUCGCUUUUGGGAUUUUUCCCUUUUUACUUUGAGAAAAUUAGAGUGUUUCAAGCAGACUUUUGUCUUGAAUACUUCAGCAUGGAAUAAUAGAGUAGGACUUUGGUUCUAUUUUGUUGGUUUGUGAACCUUAGUAAUGGUUAAUAGGAACGGUUGGGGGCAUUCGUAUUUAACUGUCAGAGGUGAAAUUCUUAGAUUUGUUAAAGACGAACUACUGCGAAAGCAUUUGCCAAGGACGUUUUCAUUAAUCAAGAACGAAAGUUAGGGGAUCGAAGACGAUCAGAUACCGUCGUAGUCCUAACCAUAAACUAA